rnacentral:lncRNA from 1 species
CGACAAAAGGCCUCGCGCAGUGCGGCGCUGGUACACCGUGCGCCGCGGUUGACGACAGAGGCAAUAGCGUCCAUUUUUCCACUGGCCACGGCGGCACAGAGGGCGUCCCACUGGUCGUAGGGGGCAAUGCCGUGUUCAUGGAGCAUGUUGCCGAUCAUAUAGUGUCCACGCCGGAGCGCGCCCCGUGCCGCGCCCACGUCGAGUGUCUUGGAGACGUCAGAUCUCUGUAACAGCCACCGUACCGUGCGCGUGCGACCAUUGAGGGCCGCCGCCUGUCCGAUCGCUACGGAUGGCCACGCGGCGACAGGGCGCGUCCGUCCGACCAUAUGCCCGUCGGCGUUGCCCGUGCCGUGCGUGCCCGCAGCCCAUUCGAGCACUUGAACAUGCCCCUCGUGGGCGGCGCAUACAAGGGCGCGCAGCGGACACGCUUGCACGCCGAGACCGUGCACGAGAGCCAGCACAUCAGCGUGUCCACACUCGGCGGCCGUGACAAGGGCGUCGGCGAGGCAUUCAUCGACCUCUGGCCACCUGGCAAUGUCGAGGACGUCGACGAGCCAGCGCGAGACCGCCAUCUUGCCUUGGCGGAUGGACUCGUAGACCGAACGGUGGCACGGGUGGGAAAAGUAGGGCGCCGCGUCGCAUUCCGCCUGGUGCAUCCAUGCCACAAUGUCAGCGCGAUCGUCCUGGACGGCAAUGUCGUAAGCGGCAUGCGGGCAACAGCAUCGUGCUUGCGGCGCGCGAGGCCAGCCUUUGGCUUGACCCCCGCUACCGCCAUUGUGGCGGCGGCGUCGACGACAGAGGUAGCCAAAGGUGGCGGCGCCGGGGGCACUUACGGCCUCGACAGAGAGACAAUCAAGAAGGGCGGCGUCGGGGCUGUUGGUGGUGGUGGAAAGCGCGCAGGCGUUAAGGAGCAGGUCGAGCACAUCGACGUGCCCGCGGUGCGCCGAUUCGCACAGGGCCUCGACCAGCGGACCCGCCUGCUGGCGCGAGUAGGCAUUGACGCCCCAUCGUCUGUGGAUUCGCUCAUAGGACGCAGGCUCGCGCUUGCGCUUGGCUCUGACAAUGGUGGUGUUGUUAUCAGGGCUUUCAUACGCGAUGACCGGGCGACAUCUGAGCAUGGCGGGCAGGCCAGCCUGCGCGAGCACCCACUCGACGACAUCGCGGCGUCCCCCACAGGCCGCGGCUUCAAUGUGAUCCGGCAGGACCUGCUCGUGGCGACGCGAGGCCACACACUGUAUGGCGUCGAGCGGCGCACCCACCUCCAUGAAGCGCUCGAUCGUCGAUGAGGGGCAUAAAGAGGCGGCGGCGCGCGACAAGGGUUCGACGGCCAAGAGCGACGAGGCUGUGGCGCACGCCACGCGGUCGCGCAGCGACGACACGUGGCCCAGG